rnacentral:rRNA from 1 species
GACGAACGCUGGCGGCGCGCCUAACACAUGCAAGUCGAACGGAGUCAAGAGGAGCUUGCUUUUCUUGACUUAGUGGCGAACGGGUGAGUAACGCGUGAGUAACCUGCCCUGGAGUGGGGGACAACAGUUGGAAACGACUGCUAAUACCGCAUAAGCCCACGGAUCUGCAUGGAUCUGCGGGAAAAGGAUUUAUUCGCUCUAGGAUGGACUCGCGUCCAAUUAGCUAGUUGGUGAGGUAACGGCCCACCAAGGCGACGAUUGGUAGCCGGACUGAGAGGUUGAACGGCCACAUUGGGACUGAGACACGGCCCAGACUCCUACGGGAGGCAGCAGUGGGGGAUAUUGCACAAUGGGUGAAACCCUGAUGCAGCGACGCCGCGUGGAGGAAGAAGGUUUUCGGAUUGUAAACUCCUGUCGUUAGGGACGAUAAUGACGGUACCUAACAAGAAAGCACCAGCUAACUACGU